CUACGAGGCGCAGCAGUGAGGAAUAUUGCACAAUGGGGGGAACCCUGAUGCAGCAACGCCGCGUGGAGGAUGACGCAUUUCGGUGUGUAAACUCCUUUUAUAUGUCAAGAAAAUGACGGUAGCAUAUGAAUAAGCACCGGCUAACUCCGUGCCAGCAGCCGCGGUAAUACGGAGGGUGCAAGCGUUACUCGGAAUCACUGGGCGUAAAGGACGCGUAGGCGGGUUGGAAAGUCAGGUGUGAAAUCCUACAGCUUAACUGUAGAACUGCACUUGAAACUUCUAAUCUAGAGUAUGGGAGGGGGAGAUGGAAUUAGUGGUGUAGGGGUAAAAUCCGUAGAUAUCACUAGGAAUACCUAAAGCGAAGGCGAUCUCCUGGAACAUUACUGACGCUAAGGCGUGAAGGCGUGGGGAGCAAACAGGAUUAGAUACCCCCGUAGUC
rnacentral:rRNA from 1 species